rnacentral:rRNA from 1 species
AAUAUGUGGCAUACGGCUCAGUAACACGUAGUCAACAUGCCCAGGGGACGUGGAUAACCUCGGGAAACUGAGGAUAAACCGCGAUAGGUCAUCACUUCUGGAAUGGGUAAUGACUUAAACCUAUAUGGCCCCUGGAUUGGACUGCGGCCGAUCAGGCUGUUGGUGAGGUAAUGGCCCACCAAACCUGUAACCGGUACGGGCUCUGAGCGGAGGAGCCCGGAGAUGGGCACUGAGACAAGGGCCCAGGCCCUAUGGGGCGCAGCAGGCGCGAAACCUCUGCAAUAGGCGAAAGCUUGACAGGGUUACUCUGAGUGAUUUCCGUUAAGGAGAUCUUUUGGCACCUCUAAAAAUGGUGCAGAAUAAGGGGUGGGCAAGUCUGGUGUCAGCCGCCGCGGUAAUACCAGCACCCCGAGUGGUCGGGACGUUUAUUGGGCCUAAAGCAUCCGUAGCCGGUUCUACAAGUCUUCCGUUAAAUCCACCUGCUUAACAGAUGGGCUGCGGAAGAUACUAUAGAGCUAGGAGGCGGGAGAGGCAAGCGGUACUCGAUGGGUAGGGGUAAAAUCCGUUGAUCCAUUGAAGACCACCAGUGGCGAAGGCGGCUUGCCAGAACGCGCUCGACGGUGAGGGAUGAAAGCUGGGGGAGCAAACCGGAUUAGAUACCCGGGUAGUCCCAGCUGUAAAC